CUCUUCACAGCUCUUGCAAGUCUGUGAAAAGACAGAGGGUGUGUGUGUUUGUCAUGUGUCAUGAAGCUGCUGUGUGAUGGUCAACAUCUGAACGCUCCAGUAACAUACACUGGCUGCGGCAGCGGGUGUAGAUGGCAUCUCUAUUUACUGAGCUGGAGGUGUUGACGAUCAUGUUCUCUCUCUUGGUGUUCGCCCUCUUCGCACUCACUGGGAUGUUCAAUGAGGAGCGUGCAUGCACGAAUGAGACAAACAUAGAACCCCAAAGUGAGGAGGUGAUCGUCUGACUCCAGACGAGGUUCAUGACUAAGAAUGUAAAGCUUCAGAGGGCAACAGCGGUCUCUUUCUUCCUGUUCAGUGCCUUAUAAGGACAUGUCAGCCAAAGACUUGUGUGAGUGUGUGUGUGUGUAAGAGUGUUAUCAGUUACCAGAACAAAGUCUAAAUAUCGACAGCUGAACAUGUGUGUGUGUACAUUAUUAUAGGAUCCAGUGUCCUGUGAUUCAGGAUGAGAAACAAAGGAGUGGCCUAGAUGUUACACUGUAAAAGAAAAAGUUAAUAAACAAACGCCUGCUUCAACAAACUGUUCAAAGACAGUAUCUCACGCCUGCUUUCUUUCCUCUUUGUAUGUGAAGACACACAGAAGUGCUUUUAUUUUGACCUUUACAUCUGAAAAAAGCUGCUGUGAUACUUCCUACAGGUAAGUCUCAAAACCCUGUACCUGCCUUUUCUUGUUUAAUCUCGCUGUUGGAUUUACUAAACAGGAAAUAUGCCUCAAACUAAGGUCAUCUCUGACUGAGGUC